rnacentral:rRNA from 1 species
UACGAAGGGUGCAAACGUUGCUCGGAAUUAUUGGGCGUAAAGCGCACGUAGGCGGCUUAGCAAGUUGGAUGUGAAAGCCCUCGGCUCAACCAAGGAAGUGCAUCCAAAACUGCUGAGCUUGAGUAGUUAAGAGGAUCGCGGAAUUCCCGGUGUAGAGGUGAAAUUCGUAGAUAUCGGGAGGAACACCAGUGGCGAAGGCGGCGAUCUGGGAACAUACUGACGCUGAGGUGCGAAAGCGUGGGGAGCAAACAGG